rfam:Xenopus tropicalis strain Nigerian Chr09_contig_504, whole genome shotgun sequence.
GGCUCUGUGGCGCAAUGGAUAGCGCAUUGGACUUCUAGGUGAAAGAAUCAGAGUCGCUCUUAUGAAGGAAAAAGGAAAAAAAAGCUCUGGACUUCUAGGUGGAAGAAGGAAUUCAAAGAUUGUGGGUUCAAAUCCCAUCAGAGUCG